rnacentral:rRNA from 1 species
UAGUCGGCCAAGUCUGAAAGGACUUUGGAUAAAGUGUUGUACAACCGCCCGCGUACUACCAUUGAAUGCUUAGUGAGGUUUUCGGAUUGCCUUGAAGCGGGCAACCCCAAUGCUGAAAAGUUAAACGACUUGGCAUUAGGGAGAAAGCGUAACAAGGUUUUCGUAACAAAUGUGAUCCUUUCGCAGCCCUAACGUUGCCUUUGCCGCAUUGAAAGAUGCAAGGUGAACACGGCUUUGUUUUAAACACAAAAAUAAAGUAUCAUCUGUUGGCAAGUCUUGGUUACUUUUACUACACUCUGCUUAAGUGAAGAGUGCUAAGUACAAAGUCAAGGCUACACUAUCGAAUUGCGGGAAAACCCUAAAACUUGUACUACCGCUUACACUUGGUAACAAGUGAUUUUAAGCACCAGGUUAAUGACCUCGGGUAUGGUAACAACGCUACUUAAGAUAUUACAAUGGGUAAUCCGCAGCCAAGCUACCAAAAAGGUAAUACCUUUGGUAAGGUUCACAGACUAAGUGGUAGUGGGUUCCAAGUUUUGCAAAAGACUUUGAGCUUAAGAUAUAGUCGGGCCCUUGUCGAAAGGCUAAGGGGAGUGCUGCACUCAUUACUAGUUGUAAUAAUCAGUAAUGUUAUAACCGUUUCGUAGGUGAACUGCGGAAGGAUCAUUAGUGAACGUUUAGAGUGCUCGUAAUGAGGCUCGACUUACACUAUUUUCAAACACUGUGCACUUGUUUUUUUCAUUGGGGUACGNGGCUUCGCGAGAGUAGUAGCACUCCAUGAAACACCUAGUCUUAUAUAAAAAGUCCUUUAAUGUAAAAACAUAAAAACGAAAGUACAACUUUCAGCAACGGAUUUCUUGGUCUCGCAUCGAUGAAGAACGCAGCGAAAUGCGAUACGUAAUGUGAAUUGCAGAACUCAGUGAAUCAUCGAAUCUUUGAACGCAUCUUGCCUCUUUGGUUAUUCCGAAGAGUAUGCUUGUUUGAGUGUCGCGAACUUCUCAACCCCGCUACUUUGUAAUGAAGUGGUUGUUCAGGGCUUGGAUCAUGACUAUCUGCCUCUUACCCGGCUUAGUCGAAAUACAACAAGCUGAAUAUUUAUAUCAAUGGCUUGACCGAUGUUGUAGGAACUAUUCACCUCAUCGGGGAUCAUUGGAAAAAGUAAAGGCUUUAACAAAACCCCCCUUAAUAGUGCAUUAUACCCAAAUCAAGU